rnacentral:rRNA from 1 species
GAUGAACGCUAGCGGCAGGCCUAAUACAUGCAAGUCGAACGGUAAAUAGAUCAGCAAUGGUCUAUGAGAGUGACGCACGGGUGCGUAACACGUAUGCAACCUACCCUUUACAGGAGUAUA